GGUUAAGGAAAGCAGGGCGCACGGUGGAUGCCUAGGUACUAGGAGCCGAUGAAGGACGGAACGAACACCGAAAUGCUUCGGGGAGCUGUAAGUAAGCGAAGAACCGGAGAUCUCCGAAUGGGGGAACCCGGCUAACGUCAAGGUUAGUCAUAUCCGCAAGGAUAAGGAAGACGUGGUGAACUGAAACAUCUCAGUAGCCACAGGAAGAGAAAGAAAAAUCGAUUUCCUGAGUAGCGGCGAGCGAAACGGAAAGAGCCCAAACCAACGAGCAAGCUUGUUGGGGUUGUAGGACUGAGAAUAAUGAGAAUAAAGGUUGGCGAUAGCCGAAUCAGCUGGGAAGCUGAGCCAGAGCAGGUGAAAGCCCAGUAGGCGAAAUCAAAGACACUCACUCAGGAUCCUGAGUACGGCGGGGCACGUGAAACCCCGUCGGAAACCGGGAGGACCAUCUCCCAAGGCUAAAUACUCCCUAGUGACCGAUAGUGAACCAGUACCGUGAGGGAAAGGUGAAAAGCACCCCGGGAGGGGAGUGAAAGAGAUCCUGAAACCGUGUGCCUACAAGUAGUCAGAGCUCGUUAAAGAGUAAUGGCGUGCCUUUUGUAGAAUGAACCGGCGAGUUACGUUUAGGUGCGAGGUUAAGUUGAAGAGACGGAGCCGCAGCGAAAGCGAGUCUGAAGAGGGCGAAAGUAGCUAGACGUAGACCCGAAACCAAGUGACCUACCCAUGUCCAGGUUGAAGGUGCGGUAAAACGCACUGGAGGACCGAACCCACGUAAGUUGAAAAUUGCGGGGAUGAGGUGUGGGUAGCGGUGAAAUUCCAAACGAACUUGGAGAUAGCUGGUUCUCUCCGAAAUAGCUUUAGGGCUAGCCUCGGGGAAAGGAUGAUGGAGGUAGAGCACUGUUUGGACUAGGGGCCCGUCAGGGGUUACUGAAUUCAGAUAAACUCCGAAUGCCAUCGAUCUAUACCCGGGAGUCAGACAGUGAGUGAUAAGAUCCAUUGUCGAAAGGGAAACAGCCCAGAUCACCAGUUAAGGUCCCCAAAUCCAUGCUAAGUGGAAAAGGAAGUGGAACCGCACAGACAACUAGGAUGUUGGCUUAGAAGCAGCAAUGCAUUUAAAGAGUGCGUAAUAGCUCACUAGUCGAGUGGUUCUGCGCCGAAAAUGUACCGGGGCUAAGUAUGGUACCGAAACUGUGGAUGUCUGAGAAAUCAGGCGUGGUAGGAGAGCGUUGUAAGUGUGAAGAAGCCAGACCGAGAGGACUGGUGGAACGCUUAGAAGUGAGAAUGCCGGUAUGAGUAGCGCAAGACCAGUGAGAAUCUGGUCCACCGAAAGACUAAGGUUUCCUGGGGAAGGCUCGUCCGCCCAGGGUUAGUCGGGACCUAAGAUGAAGCCGAGAGGCGUAGUCGAUGGAUAGCAGGUUGAGAUUCCUGCACUAAUCAGUAGUGAUUGAACGAUGGAGGGACGCAGGAGGCUAGACGUGAGCAUGCAGCUGGAAAAGCAUGUCGAAGCAGCGAGUGGGGUUAAGAGUCAAAUGCUUUUAACCGGGAACCAUGAGCUGUGAACGGGAGCGAAAUACAAGUAGCGAAGCACGGAGGUCACACUGCCAAGAAAAGCUUCUAGUGAGCGACUGAUUACCCGUACCGCAAACCGACACAGGUAGUCGAGGAGAGAAUCCUAAGGUGAGCGAGAGAACUAUCGUUAAGGAACUCGGCAAAAUGGCCCCGUAACUUCGGGAGAAGGGGUGCUGGUGUCAGAGCCAGCCGCAGUGAAAAGGCCCAAACAACUGUUUAUCAAAAACACAGGUCUCUGCCAAAUCGUAAGAUGACGUAUAGGGGCUGACGCCUGCCCGGUGCUGGAAGGUUAAGAGGAGAGCUUAGCGGAAGCGAAGGUUUGAAUUGAAGCCCCAGUAAACGGCGGCCGUAACUAUAACGGUCCUAAGGUAGCGAAAUUCCUUGUCGGGUAAGUUCCGACCCGCACGAAAGGCGUAAUGAUUUGGGCACUGUCUCAACGAUAGACUCGGUGAAAUUAUAAUACCCGUGAAGAUGCAGGUUACCCGCGACAGGACGGAAAGACCCCAUGGAGCUUUACUGUAGCUUGAUAUUGAGUUUUUGUGUAACAUGUACAGGAUAGGUAGGAGCCGUAGAAAUCGGUACGCUAGUAUCGAGGGAGGCACCGGUGGGAUACUAC
rnacentral:ncRNA from 2 species